AAAGUGAGCGCUGUGAAGUUGUUGAGUUAAUUUAAUAAAUAAAGUUGUAAAAAAAAGAUUGAUUUAAAUACAAUUAGUUUAGUUAAUUUAUAUUUGAUUACUCAUCUUUGCUAAUGUGUAAAGCUAAUGGUAAUUUGGUGCGCAGUAAAAUUGAACAGCAGUAACGUGAGCAACUUUCGUGUUGAACGAUGAAGUACAAGGUCUUGUAAUUGUGAUGUGAGUGGAAUAUGUGAACUAGUAUAUGUGUGUGAAUUACAAUAAUGAUGUCCUCAUCAUGUAGCCUUGCACUAUUUAUGUAAAGGGUGAUUCAAAAAGUGUUCAAAAGUGAAAAGUGUUGUGUAGUUCGUUCAGAAUUUUGUAUUGCUUAUUUUUUAAAGUUAGCCUAUCAUAAUUUUAAUUAUUUUUUAAAUAAGUGAGAAAGGGUUCAAGAUGUUAAUUAUUUUAAAUCGCAGAUAAUGGUUAUCCACAGGGGAAAUAAUUGUGCUGAUCAUACUUCACAAGAUAAACAAUUUGGCGUCGCUCAAACAGCUCGAGAACAAAAACCAAAGCACAACAACAGUAACAACAACAACAACAACAUUUAAGUAGAACAAUUAACCGACUGACGAAGUCAUUAUCAUUAACUGCCACAGCUGUCUCAACGACUUGCGCCGAGAGUGGGAAUCAUCAUCGUUGGAAGAUAAGUAAUGAAAGGAAAACAAGCAUUCAAAAGGAAUAAACAAGGAUAAUGAAGUUGGCAUUGUGACAAUGCUGGCUGCCUGGCUGGCUGACAUGCGAGUGAGUACAAGCAAACAUUGCAAUUGCGAUGUCGCAACAACUACCAACACACACAAACAAACACAUGAAAGUAGUUGCAUAAGUCAGACACAUGUGUGUGUGUAUAUGUGGGUCCAUGUGUAGGUGUGUGCGUGUAUUGAAAGCAAAUAUUGCAAGCAGUUAACAACUAAAGCUGUAACAAUGCAAAGCAACAACAACAACAAUAACAACUUGAUAUCUAGCACACAACAGCAACAAUCAACAGUUACUCACAGCUAUAACAACAAAGUUAAACGUCAGCACUCAGCAGCGCAAGACGCCAGUCGUUGCACGAAGGAGUUUUACUGCACAACAACAACAAAAAUAGAAAAGAAACUAGCAAGUAGUGCAAUAAUGAAUGUGAGAAGGAGUGAAAAAAAGCAAAACUCUGCAAAAGUUGCGAAAUAAAAAUGCGCUCGAAUGCUGUAGAUUGCCGGCUGACAACUCUUUUUACCGAUUAUCAUUGCAUUUGAAUAGGUGUGUGUUGCCUGCUCGCUUAUGUGUGUGUGUGUGUCUAUUACCUGUGCAACAAUGUUUGCACUUAAAUUGCUUGCAAUCAACAAUAACAAUGCGCCUUGUCGAGCGUCGAGCAAAGCAAACUCUCAAGAAGAUCGCUGCGCGGAAGAGCUAAGAAUUGAAAUGAGAGUGUCAUCGUGCUGUUUAAUUUACUCGCACACACAGAAAUACAUACAUAUAUACGAUACGUAAACGCAUACAUUAGGGCUGCUUUGUAUGUAUGUGCAACGUUAUAUAUGCCAACAUAUUAAUUUGUUUUAGGUAAGUAACAAAAGUGUAUGUAUGUGUAGCGCGGGAGAGUGCAAUCUAACUUUGAGUUGAAAGAAGUUUCAUUUAUAUUCAUUG